UCACCCUGUCAAUACGGACGACCCUGUAUAUUUGAAAAUAUUUUUAAAUUAUGAUACUAUGUAUGCCCCAACUUUUACCUAAAUAACUUUUUCUCCUAUCUCUUACGACAAACGAGUAAUUGGACUUUGUCACACUAAUGCCCCACCCUGUAUAACUAUUAGGGGAUCGAAAAUAAUCUUUAUUAUAAUUUAUCAUAUAAAAGCAAAAUGUUUUGUUUCCAAUGUUAGUUAAAACGUACUUUAAUAUUAAUAGCUGCAUUUUUCUGUUCUUAAACAGCUUUUCAUUAUGACAAAAUAUCCGAUAUGCCCGUUUUUUGCGCCGCCUAUGUACUACGAACACCUUAAGUAAUUUUAAUUAUUUUUGUGGAAAGAUCUGCUAUCUACAUUUCAAUUUACUAAAACUCCCUUUGGUGGUUGUGUGUACAUUUUUAACUAUAACUGUAUUAUAAGCCUUGAAUAUGUAACUAUCAUCUUAACUUAAAAUUAAUUUAUAAGAACUUUAACACACAAAAACAUGAGUUAAAUUGAGGUUAGGUAUUUAUUUUUUGUACAAAGUCUUACUUAGGCUGUUAAUUUUAGUUGUAAAACACUCCUUACCUUUUGAUAACACCAGACACACACGUAAAUACAAUAUUGUACGGCAGAAGAACUAAAUAAGAUACAAAAAACGAAUAAUACCGGGAAACUGUUGAUAGGCGGUACAACUAACAAACAACAACCACAAAUGAGUAGAUAGAAGGUAUUUCUGCUAUUCAGUUAGAAGGUAUUUCCGGCAUAAAAAACGCUGAUUAAGGUAGGAUAUAUUUCCAUGAUGUUAUUUUAAAUACUUUGAGAAUAGAUACAGUUAGGAUAUUUUGUUAGAAGAUGCGUAACAAGCUUUGCAGUUAGAUGGCGCGAUAAACUUAUUUUUGAAAAAAAUGUAGAUAGGAGGUAUUGGUACUUAACGGUCGAUAAGGUAAAAUAUUUACAAUUCUACACUGAUAGUUCGACAACUGUCAAAUUUAUACACGGAUCAUUUGAAGGUUAGGGCUAACUAAAAAUUAGGAUUUAAUACCAGUAGUGCCAUCUAUGUGUCAUCUACAACCUUUUCAUCCCACCUGUUAGUUGUAGCUUUUUUUCUCUAUUGUAUUGUCGGGUAGAUAUUAUGACUUUACUUUAGCCAUUUUAAAAAUCACGGAUAGGUCAUUCGUCUUGCUUCAUACAUCAAAAUUUAGUGGAAACAAAGACAUUUUUGCUUUAUGACAUCGUGUUGAUACAUAUUUCGCCUUCAGUUGUAAAGAUUUUAUACGAAUUUUGCAAAAUUGGUGGAGAGCCAAAGUAGACAAAUUUGAAGGUAUGUGCGUAAAAAAUAGUCGUCAUCUUAGUACAAAUUGGAACAAAUUAAUAAGACUAGAAACUGAUUACAGUAGAGCGUCGAUUAUCCGAACUAAUUGGGAGACAUGGGUGUUCGGAAAACCGAUUUGUUCGGAUAAUCGAACUAGAUUGAUAUAGUCAUACAUUUUUAUCCGCAAGUGAAUAAAAGCCAUAUUUAUAUACCUACAUAUUUAUUUAUAUCUUGAUAAUGACAAAUAGAAAUUAAACAAAAAAGUGCAGUCUUUGCAACAACAUAUUUUUGGAUACAAUAUUGAAGAAAAUUGAAGAUAUUUUAAGCGUUAAUUACUAACGCUUGCUCGGUACUCGAGUGCGGGGCGCGGGAGUCGAGAGUUCGGAUAACCGGUCGUUCGGUUGAUCGACGUUCGGAUAAUCGACGCUCUACUGUAUAUAUUUGCAUCAACUUGUAUAUAUCCAUGUACAUUAUUUCAUUUAUAAGGUUAAUCUUGUUUGAGUGCCACAUUCGUGUUUUAAAUAGCACCCAAACGAAAAUCAAGUCUUCACAAAUCUGCUGAAAAUUCGAGUAUAUGAAAUUAAACAUAACUAUACUAAAAUCACAAUAAAGUUGCACUAGAAAUAAACAGACCAAGACACGUUGAAUGUCCCAAAUCAUGAUUUACAAAGUUUACACAUUGUAAAACAUGAUUCGGCAGUGUUCAUCGUAAGAUUCAACGUGUCUUGGUUUGUUUAUUUCUAGUGCAUCUUUAUCGUGAUUUUGCUAUAGGUAAUAAAAUUAAAGAUCUAUAAUGUAUAUUCAAGUUGAAAAUACAAUUAUUUUUAAUUUUCUAUAGUGUGUCAUAAAAGAAAGUAAUUUGUAAAUAGACCAAAUAUUUUUGAUUGGGUCUUUUAUACAGUUCUUGUAAACUGCAAAUAAAAGUAACAUGGAUUUUACAAAAUGAGAGGUGUUUGUAACCCUAGCCUCACGUAACUAUAUAUGUAUAAAAAAAGAUAAUGUACUUGAAUUUUAAGUUAGUCUGUGUUCUAACAGGCUAUUUUUAAGCGAUCAGAACAAGUUUGAGUUAAAAAAGCCUAAAAGUCAUUCAAUGUUUUUAGCUUAUAAAAAAGCAUUGUAGCAAAUAUACACUUAUUUUUCAUACAAACAAUAUCAGGCUAUCCAAAAAGUACGUUGUUUAAUUCUAGUGCAUCAUUUUUGUGAUUUUGGCAUAGGUAGAAUAGUAAAUGACAAAUUGAUAAAAAAUCAUAUUGAAAAACGCGAAAUAAGGUAAUAAAAUUAAAGAUCUAUAAUGUAUAUUCAAGUUGAAAAUACAAUUAUUUUUAAUUUUCUAUAGUGUGUCAUAAAAGAAAGUAAUUUGUAAAUAGACCAAAUAUUUUUGAUUGGUUCUUUUAUACAUUUCUUGUAAACUGCAAAUGAAAGUAACAUGAAUUUUACAAAAUGAGAGGUGUUUGUAACCCUAGCCUCACGUAACUAUAUAUGUAUAAAAAAAGAUAAUGUACUUGAAUUUUAAGUUAGUCUGUGUUCUAACAGGCUAUUUUUAAGCGAUCAGAACAAGCUUGAGUUAAAAAAGCCUAAAAGUCAUUCAAUGUUUUUAGCUUAUAAAAAAGCAUUGUAGCAAAUAUACACUUAUUUUUCAUACAAACAAUAUCAGGCUAUCCAAAAAGUACGUUACGUUUUAGAAUAGAAAAAAAAACAAGUAAAAGAAAAAGAUUUUAUUAUAUAUACAUUUGAAAGAGAUACUCAAAUACUAUUCUUCUACAUACUCUGCCAACAAAUUCAGACACGUAUCAUAGCAGUGAAUUGACCAUUCAUGCUCAAAACAGGUGGUAGUCGCUAGGUGCAAGAUCCGGACUAUACGGCGGAUGAGGAAACACCUCCCACUUGAAUGGAAGAGACAAGUUCAUCAGUCACAAUGCUUAGUCGUCCACUUCGUUCUUCAUCGUGCACAUUGGAUCGGCCAUUUUUGAACUGAAUGCAUCAUUGACGCACUCCACCUUCAGUGAUCACAUUGUUCCCAUAAACAGCACAAAUUUUGCGAUAAAUUUCAAUUGGUUUGUUUGCAUCCAACAAGAACCGACACACAUUUCAAACAGCUGUUGUAAAAUAACGAGAAGAGACAGUGACUUCGCGCUAUCACCUCUGGACAGCUACUGAACGGACGAACGCCACGAUGGUAAGAUGGCCGCGCUAGCCCCGCCCCCAGCGGCUACAGAUCAAAACGUAACGAAUUUCUGGAUAACCCUCGUAUCUCUGUGAAUUUUGUGUACAUUCCGUGUAUAUCAAGGAGGUAAAAUGUAUCCUUGUAGAACCCCAUGGUUCCCUGUCAUCCUAUAUGGCCAGUUUCAACAACGACGGGGUCUAUUCGAUGAAUAAUGUUAUUCAACCAAUAAAACUGACACAUCUGCGUUUCACCGACGUCAAUUAAGACUUAUUCUAUGAAUAAACUCAUAAGUUAUAAUAAUAAUUAAAAGAUAUUAGACCUCCAAACGAUAAAAGUUUUAACCCUUAUUGUUAUAAUAUUGUCUUACCUGUAGGGACUGUCUGGCCCUAUAAGAUGUUCCUGCUAAUAAAUAUUUAAAAAAAUUGAGGCUUUAGCAUAAUAUAUAUUUGGAAAUAUUUGAUUGCCCAGAGCAAGACAAGAGUAUUUCCCUGGUGUAAGCUGGGCGAAUUAUCCCGUGGGAUAUAACCCGAUAAAGGAAGAAGAAGUUAUAAAUAACAGCUUAUUUUGACGUUUCAAUUUUCACUUCCGAAAUACGGUAUUUUGAGAACUAACAAAUUUUUCCCAUGUUUAUAUCGAAGACUGUCUGUUUUUUUAUUCUCAAUGUGUUUAAAUUUCUCAUUUAUUGAAAUCAGAUUUUGAUUUUCCUUCUCUAAAUAAUGUUUGGUUCUUCCUCGUUUUCUGUCCAUUUUUAGUAAACAAAACAACAUCAUUACACUAUUUAGAACUUAUUCGACGAAUAACUAACUGUAGCGUACAAAUAGUUAUUGAAACGCAAUAAAAUAUAAUCUAUUCACUGACUUAUUGUUGUUGGUGAAACCGGCCGAUAGUCUUUUAUAUACCUAAAAAUGAUAUUUUUAUGAUUGUCAAUUAGAAAGAAUGACUUCCAGACUAUUUUUGUACCUGAAACACCAGUUUUAAUUGUUUUAUUUCUUCGCUGGGUAUUAUUUUAAACAGACAAUUUUUAUUGUGGUUUUGCACUAAUUUGUGACAUCACAAUAUUUUUUAUUUCGUUCCUUUUCUUCGAUUAACAUAAUAAUUUUGUGGGUAGUAGGUGCCUGAGAUAUUUUUAAAGUAUGUAAUUUUGUAUAAUUUUUUUGAAAUUUAUAAGAUAUUAGAUAUAAACUGAUCGCUGAGAUUGCUAAUAUAGUGGAUCAUUAAAGGUUCAUUUAUUUAACACGUUCACUGCCACGCGCCCUUAAAAAUCCAACACUGAUGCUGCCUCAGCAGGCCACAUUGGUUCGAAGAGGUUAACAUUUGCCACGUUUGACUCCCUAUGUUGUCUUGUUUCGAUUUUGUAGAAUUUGUCGAAGAAAAAUGUAGGUUUAAUUGAGUCGCCUCCAUGGCGUGCAUCUAGCAGGGGUAGGGGUAGCGCCUGCACCUCAACCCGCCAGAAACGACAUCUCAAUUGUCACAUUCCUACAUCUAGAUGUACACCGGCUGAACGCAAUCGCAUCAUCGUCAUCAGCGCCAUCUCUUUGACGUAUAUGUCUAAAGGCUAAUGAGUAACUCCAUUACAGUAGUUGUAGUUGUUUUCAUGGCACCUGUUAUAUUUAGACAAGCCAUCUGCUGAAUGCAAAUUUAACAGUGUAUGCAUAUAUAUGUUAGACUUAAUAUACUUGUAAGUGUAAGUGAGCACUUGGUUAUAUAUUAUUUCAACUUAAGAUGAGAUCUUAAAAUACCAUAUUUUAGUAUUUUAUUUAAAAUUACCCUGUUCAGUGAUCUGUUAAUACUAAUAUCUCUGACUCGUGUAGUUUUGAGCACAACUGCCCAGGAAACAAUUUUUGCAUAAUUUAUUUUAUUUACCUUACUCACUCUAAGUUUUAGCGAAGUAGUUUUAAGUUAUAAGAAAUGUGUGAUACUUUUAAAUAAAUUAAAGACAACUUU